GUUCAUUCCUGAACAUGUACUGAAAUUGGAACAAUACAGAGAAGAUUAACAUGGCUCGUGCGCAAGAACGACACGCAAAUUCGUGAAGCGUUCCAAAAAUUU
rnacentral:snRNA from 1 species